GACAGAGGGUGCAAACGUUGUUCGGAAUUACUGGGCGUAAAGCGCAUGUAGGCGGCCAAGCAGGUCGGAUGUGAAAUCCCUCGGCUCAACCAAGGAAGUGCAUUCGAAACCGCAUGGCUCGAGUCCCGGAGAGGAAGGUGGAAUUCUCGGUGUAGAGGUGAAAUUCGUAGAUAUCGAGAGGAACACCGGUGGCGAAAGCGGCCUUCUGGACGAGGACUGACGCUGAGAUGCGAAAGCGUGGGGAGCAAAC
rnacentral:rRNA from 1 species